rnacentral:lncRNA from 10 species
AGGUCCAGAGUUUGGGACAAAAUUUAGGGCUAAAGAUAAGGAAGUUAUUUCUAAUAUGGAAAUGUUAGUUAAUAUUGAGGAAUGAAUGAACCAUCUGAUGGGGAGAAUAUAAAAGAAAGAUUAUAAAGAAAAGAUCUGAACUCAGGAACGUCCCAAAAUUUGGAGAGCAGGAACAGAGGACUAGUGAAAAAGGCAGAGACAAGGUGGUCAGAAGAGCAUCAGAAGCUCCCCCAGGGCAGUACUUCUGAGGCAAUGGAGGAAAAUCCCUCAAAGCAGGGGCAGUUCAUCAUAGGGAGCCGUGAAGACUAAGAACUGGAAGUCAGCCCACAGGUGUGUUAGAGACAGCUGGAAGGCAUCAGAGGUGACUGGGGCUAGAUAACCUUUCAGAUGCUCUUGUCUGUCCUGGAAUUCUGUGAGUUGAUUUGAAGGUUAUCGAGCCCAGCUACAGUGGAGCAGGGUGUGGCAUGAGGAGGUGAUACUACAGUUGCCCCUUUACAGAGUAACCCACGUAUGCAACAAUUAAGACAUAUGACAUAUUUGGACAUUAGCAUGUGGAAUUAAAAUGACACACAACAAUCUACUGGUUGCUGUCCAAUGUAUUGUAAAGCAAAUAAACUCUGAAGCAUGACCCAUAAUACUGUCUCUACCAUCUCCUUUUUCAAAUCAACCUCAAACUUCCCCCUGUCCAUUACACGAACAUUUCAUUUCUGGUGAUUCUCCUGACAUUUCAUCAAAUAAAUCCAUUCAACAAUUCGGCAAGCACCCACUAAGCACCUAUGUGUAUUGCCAGGUACUGCACUAGGAACUUGGGACUCAGAGAACCUUAAAGGUGUGCUUCUUGCCUGUGAGGAGCUCCAGUUCAAUGGAAAAGCUCACCAACAGGAGAAAUCUGGGGAGAAGACACCCUGAAGCAGCAGACAACAAAGAGCCUGAUGAUGGGGAGACCUCAAAUAAUGAAGGCAAAUAGAUCAGGUUCCAGUGGCAAGAGCAGCAGGACCAGGAUUGUUCAUCCACUCACAGAAUCUUAGGCUUGGAAAGGAGCUUGGAGGACAUCCAGGCCAACUCCGUAUUUGACCCUGAUACAACUGUCUCAUUACUGCUCACACUGAAUAUUUUUACUCUGCAUUUUGUCAAUUUAGGUCUCUCAUUCCCUGCCCCUCAGAGCCAUAGUAUUUUUGGGUUAAAAGUCCUGAUUAGUUGGUAAUCUCACUCAGGCUUAGCCUCUCCACCUCCAUCCCCUCCACAUGAACCCAUUGCCUUUGCUCUUCUACUCAGUGCAUCCAGGCGGUGAGCAAUCAAUAGCAAUUAUUUCAGUUCUGUUUAAUUUUUCUACCUUUUCGCUGAUCAUUUUAUAUGGAAAGAAUAAGCCUUUCCAUAGUCCCCAAAUCAUGCUUUUGUUCAAUAAUGAUUACCUCUAUAAGUUAUUAAGAUAAUAGUUUUGGGUUUUUUGUUUUUGUUCCCCCUCCACCAACAGCUGCCUCUUAGGCAUAGCUUGUAAACAAAGGCCAGCCUGGAGGGAUCACCGUCUGCUAAAUGGAUAAUCACAAACAGAUGUCAGUCAUAGGAAAACAGAUUUUUAAGUUCUUCACCAUUAAGCCUCCGAAAACUCUAAGCUGAGAGACAAUCUUAAGAAUAGUUAUAUUAUUUUACAGUGCACAUAUUUGGUGCAGAAAAUAUCUCACCUUAUAAAACUGAGCAACAAGAACAAUAUGCAUAGGAACAAGUGAGAGAAAUCUGGGGCAGGAGGACAUUAGCUUAUUUGUGCCCCUCAGCACAAUUUCUGAGGCAGAAUGUCUCUU